rnacentral:rRNA from 1 species
GAACCACAAUUUGAAACUCGGGUGGGAAGUAAAAGAAAGACCUUAGCGGUGACCCGGCCCCUCGACGACUGCCCACGGCGUAGACUUAGGUACGGCCUGGAGAAUAACGUUCGAGCCUUGUGUGACGAGCUUCCACUGGCCUACGGACCUCGUUGACAGCUACGUCGUCUCCCAGUCGACAAGACGUGACCUAGCCCCUCUAGUCAAAGACAGUCAAUCUCCCGAUAUUUCUCCCGUGCCCCUUAACCAGUCCUUCCUCCACCUCUUCUGACUAUAGUUCUCUUCAUUAUCUUGUUUGCAAACUGUUGCAUGGACUACGUCUCCCGCACAGCUCUAUUUACCUGUGAGGUAAAUCUCCACCUCACGUAUUGUCAUGGUACGGGGGACACAAGGUUUAACCUAGUCCUUUUCGCCAGAAAGGCCCGUUACUAAGUUAGGUUUUCCGUUCUCGAUAAAAUCCUCAAUAUGUUGUGACAGUGUGAAGUCACACCACUUUUUUUAAUGAUGUGUUUAUUUGACCUAGAAAUGUUGAAACCGUAGCAGGACACCUUCAACGACUGGUUAUUUUACGGUAAUCUUCCGUACAACUUAAAAGUUCGACGUAUAUAUACGACGACGAAAAUUUCAUUCAUCUGAUAGUAAAACGAUACCUUACUACGGUGAAGGAUCUUACAACAGACGUGGAUUAAUGGCUCCAUGAGUUGGUAUUACAACAUCCUUGGUGAUAAAAGAACACUCAAAGUUCAACUAUAAACUUAGACAGAAAAAGAACAUUGACUUUAGUCAACGAGCAUAAAGAAGUAUGACAAAUCGUAGGACGGCUACACUAGACAACGUAUGGAUUUUACAUAGUUAUGUAAAAAACACUAAACUUAUUAGUUGUACCUUAGAACAACAUGAAGAAAAUACUCCAGACUCCCUCUAACAGCUAUGGAAAGUCGAAACGGCCAUAAAGUGAAAUGUAGGAACAUAUUAACUUCGAGGCUUCACUUUAUCAUAAGUCUAACGCUCGACAACUCUUUCACGACGAUAGUCCCCUAGACCCAAUAGGAUUCUUGAAACGUCCCCACCUUAUUGAUGUAGUAUCUUCUCUAUUAACUUGAAUAAUCACCUAGUAUUCGUAGUACAUUUAUUUUUUCAAACCGUACAUCUAAGUCGACCAUCUAAAGUAUGCGUUUAAUUAGGGUAAUAUUGUUUGGUAAAAUACACUUCCAAUGUAAUCCAAUUCAAAGGUAGGUAUAAUGACAAAACAUCUAAAACGUCAAAUGUUGGUCGAUUCUCAGUUCUUACAUGACUACUACGUAACGUUAAUUUUGUAAUGCAUAUACUUUUAAACCGAGGUAAGAAAAGGAUUUAUCUAACAAUUUUGUUUUAAACACUUACUACUGACGAAAUUAUUGUUAGCGUUUAUUAGCGUUUAUAUUAAAAUAAGAAGUUAAUUUAGACGGGAGAAUGUAACGCCAAGACCUUAACUAAUGAAUACAAUGGUAUCUUUAAAAGAACUUAACAAAUAAGUACUCCCCUAAUUGAGAUGGGGUAGUAUGUUUGAAGAUGCAACUCAAUCUUCCCAACAGAUGAACUUGUACAAGGACUAGGGGUGAAAGUACUAUGUUCACACAUGACAUUUGAAAUUAUAACGAUUAACGAUCGAAAUAACCACAUGUAUUUGACUAGUGACUAAAGAAUCGUGGAUGAUUGGAUUACGUCUUAAAGGAAAACGACGGUCUCAAUCGCGAAAGGUCAUAGGUGACUUGAAGACAGCUUUAGAGUUACUUUAUCAGCACAAAAGAUGCAAAGGUGUACUGUUUUAGUCGAAUGGUAACUCGGACUCAUCCGUCUUUCAGAGUCCACACGGUCUCACAAACACAACAGUUUAGCUCAAUAAUCAGAGAAUUUUAUAAGCCUAAAAGAAAGGUACACCAUUAAAACCCGUGUAUGCUUCUACAUACAUAAUACAAACGACCGUACCACAUGAUCGUGGUCUUUUAGGUUAUAUUUUCAUUUCACUAGGAACGGCCCUAGUACUUCUCAUUGAUCGAUACUCGUCACCAUUGAUUAUUAGGUAUGACAACCACUCCUUUCCACUGUAUUUGACACCUGACGCCUCCUGACAUUACUUAAGAUUUACAUGGGUGUUAGAGUCAAGAAACAAAACAACCUCCGUUUGGCGUUUUCAGAAGAAAUCAUAACGAUGUGGACUUUGAUGAAGAGCGAGAUCGUACAAACUGAAAAAAAACAGAUGUAUAUACACUAAAAGUAGAAAGAUUUUGUCCCUUGUAGUUCUACAGCGACCGGCUACGCAUCAACGACGUGUUAUACUAUGGUAUCCACAAACUCCACUGCACGGUGCCACCGUAGCCACUAAGUAUGAGGGAGACAGACCUUUAUGAACAGCUUCUUUACGUAUUUUCACUUAUAUAGAUCUUGAUUUUAUGUAGAUCUAUGUAAGUAAGGAGGCUGCUCAUAAAGGCCUGCCUCCCUCAUAUAAGAUCCCGUACCGACCAUCACUGUAGAGACGAUGAGAUUACCACAAGAAGUAUCAUUUAUAUGUCCAAGUAAUCAGGUGUAUUCAUGAAGCAUCAUUUCCAAGGUCUUGAACACCCACUACUGCGGACACGUUCCCGUGUUCUACGUUUAAGUACACUUAUUAAACUGAGUUAUUUCUCUACGUUAAUUACAAACGUUCUUUUUUUCAUUGUCUGGCGGUUUGCAAGUAUAGAGGGAAAGAAAGGAAUCGUACAAAGAAUGAAAACCUAAAUAUAUAACAGCCGAGUAUUCUACUAACCAGAUCUAUCACCUACGAGUUACUAAGAUGUCAACUCAGUUCGUUUAAGUCAACUUCUUUAAUUCCUCAAACAUUAUUAAAACGCGUCCACUGACAUAAGGGAAAGAGUACAAUGUGAUAAUACCAAAAAAAUAGACCGUAGAAUAGAAUUUUGAUAAGACUAGAAAAUCUAGUACUGAGCACUCCUUUCUCUUAUGAUACCUUGUACUCUGGUAAAAAAAAUUACUUCUCAUCGAAAAAGGCAACUUCUCUAAUUACUUUACUUACGGGUUUCCUUCGUUCACACAUGGUUAUACCCGAGUUACCGACUUUGGUCACUUCGUAAGGUAGUUUUCCCUGUACAAUAAAAGACAAAACUUAAAGUAGUUCAAAGUACGACUGGGUACAAGAGAAAAGAUCUGAAACUUCUUCCCUCAACCAAAUGAAAAGUUUUUAAACCUUAGGGAACUACUCUUAUCUACUUACCAAAUUUAGAACACUCCUACUCUCUUAAAGACCCUUUUACUUUACCACUUAACAUACGACGAUUACCUUAUACAGUUGUCCGGAUACUCUUAACCUAACUCGACUCUCGCCUUGGUCCAUUUUUCCAUUCUUUGAAGAACAUAAGUUCCCGGCGAACAUCACAAGUUAGACAUCACGUUACAAAAUUACGAUUUAUUUCUUCCGGCCGUACCACAAUAAUCUAAUAAGAAACGGUUCAAAAUGUGGUGGUUGCCUCGGAAUAACAGGCCAAUUUUUUAUUCUUUCGUGUCUAUGAUCUAUUUGGCCUCACUCUUGGAUACAUCACAAGCAAGGUUUGUACUCAUUAAUGCGACUAAUUAUCUAACUGAAAUGUAAAAAAUGGGAUUUUUGUGAUUAAGUACCGGGAUGAUAUAAAAAAUAACGUAGUUCUUUUGUUUUCUUAAUAUGUUUUUUGCUUUUCCUUUUCCAAACUCCUAUUGUUUCGUUUUUUCCCGUCGGACCACUUACAUCGAGGGCGAACGUGUCCCAGGCUCCUUUCCAGGCUGGUGUAACCCAGAUAUCAUACGUCGGAAAAGGAUGUAAAGAAAUUCUCCAAUAAAAAUCCUGAACUGGGGCACCCGUCGUCGAAAUGGCGACGCUGUUCCGAGGGGAAGAAUCCUUUUGUUUCGUUUUGUUUUGUUUUUUCCUUCCUAUUCUUUUUAUCUUAGAUGUAUACCACU